ACAAGGUCCCUUCCAACCUGAAUUAUUCUGAUUCAAGAAUGAUAUUUUCCCUGAUAGCUUGACCUGGUAGCAUGAUUAAUGGCAAAAUGCAGGGGAUCAAAAGUAUGAAAUAAGUUCACAGAAGCGGAAGACAAUGCAACAAGAAUUUCAUCAAGAUUAUAUGCAAAAUUAUAUAAAUGCAUGUAUUUCAUCAUAAAAUAUCCAAGAGGAUAGUAUGCAAAAAAGGUGGCCAACCAAAGACUAGAAAAAUAUCACUGUACAGUCUGAGAAACAAAAAACUAAUUUUGUCAGGAGAAACUGACGGCAGGAUUCCAUGCUGAGUGUAUGCAGAACAGCUCAAAAAGCUAUGUCCUCCAAUGGCCUUGAUGAAACCCUUGCUUAUUAUUUACUGGGAAAGUAUAUAAGAAGGAAUGUUUUCCGUACACUUCCUGGGAAGCUUGGUCUACUGAAGCAAUUCCGAAACUUUUGCAAUGAUGUCCUACCCUACAACCAGUUCUUGCAAUCAUCAAUAUACCAGCAGGCACUCUGGAAUCAUGACAAGUUUAUUGGGAGAGAAAAGGAGGUACAUGAUACACUGAAAUAGGAGAAUAAAAGAGAGGAUGACAUCUGCAGAAAUUAAAUUCGAUAAACUGCUUUCAAUUAAAUUUCUGCAUUUUACUGUCUCUCCUUUUUCUGAUGAGUCCCAAAUAAAUGGUUGCGUUUUCCCCAGUGUGAAUUACACCUUUUACCCCUUUCAUUACUGAGAUAUUUUCCACUUUCCAAGAUUUGUUAGCAAUGUGUGUUACUGGUUCACAUAAUACUCCUGCUAGUUCCCUGAAGAUUCAUAGCUGCCAGCUUCAAGAAUCCUUGAAGAUUCUAUUAAAGUUCCCUGAGAAUCUUGGCUGCAAGUUCUUUAGACUCUUGAGAAAUUGUGUAUAAAAAUAUUUUGAAAAGAAGAUUUUUCUGAGGAAUGCUAAGAUUUGAUUACUCCCCUGACGUGCCAGGACAUGUUGGCAGCUCAGCAGGAAAAAGAAUAAUUUCCAGCUUGCUCCAAUUUUUGUACUUCUAACAAUUUGCAUAUGUUUUGUCUAUUUCUGCCUGCCUGUUUUUUUCAAUUCAGUCUGUUAAAUCCGCUGGCCAGGUACAUGCCUGCCUCUGUGUUGUAAUAAUUGAUCUAGAAAUAGUAAUUCUGAGUGCUGGAAUCUAAACAGCCAUAGAUUUAAUAAGUACUAUAAGAAAAGAAUAUAAUAGUAGGCAAACUGACAGCUAUCUUACUAGUCUUUAAGCAUAACUGAUAGACUUGCUGUAACUCAUGGAAGUUUGGUGUUUUGAAAAGUUCACUGAAGAUAGCAUUAAAUCCAGCACAGAUUUGCAACUUUUCUGCAGCACGACAGAAAAC